rnacentral:lncRNA from 1 species
AUGGAGAGCAGCUCUUCAAAAGCAGAGGAACUGCAGCUGUUUUUGCGUAAUAUGGAGCAGGAGAGAAUCAUACUGGGAGAUCUCCUGCAGACCCAGGUUCAGAUCUUGCCCCAUUUGAGCCAUCCAGACCGAGUAGUGGUUCAGAUACAAUUGAUAAGCCUGCAGAAGGAGUGGAAGACCAUAGAGAUGUCUGUAGAAGCCUCUUUGCACCGUUUCUCUGUUCUCAACCAAGCAGUCAACAGCCUUCUCUUGGAGACUCAGGAUCUUCAACACCAGAUGAAGACACUGAAGAAGUCACUGGAGCCUGGCCAGUCUGCUUCUAGCAAGUGGAACAGCAAGCAGGCUGGGGAGCUAUUGAUUGUGGGUGCUGACCUCACUGCUGUUAACCAACAUUAUCUUCACCUGCAGCAAAUUGCUGAGGCUCUUGUCCAGGAUUCUCUGGGUGAGCAGGAGAUGAGGAGCAUCUCCCUAGCCCUCCAGGGUGUGAAAGAUGAACUAGACCAAUUGCAGCUUUCGACACAAAUGCCUAUUAGCAGCAAUACAACACUAGUUAAGAUUAUGAAGGUGAUCCAAGAGGCGUUCACCUGGGCGAAGCAGAUAGAGAGUAACAUCGAGGCGGAGAAAAAAGUGGCCCUUCUUCCUGAGGAAGUCCACCGACAGAUCAAAGGAUUGAAGAAACUACAGGCAGACAUAACUGCCAAACAGAUUCAACUAGAAUCCCUGUCUGAGGAGGUAAAGGAGCUAACUCCUGAGCUGGAAGAGGAAGAUAUUCCUAUGGUGCAGUCCUUGCUCAAAUCCUUGCAGAGCUUGUCCUGUUCAACUGUGGAGAAGUUAGCUCAAGCACUACAGGAUGUGGAGUCAGGCUUGCAACUGAGAGAAAAGAUGUCAGAGCAAAUUGCUGAUGUAGAUUCCUGGGUGCUGGCUCAUGUACGGUCAGAGGCCACCAGAGAAGACAUGAGUGAAAAAUGUGCAGCAGACUUGGAGCACAGGCUCCGACAGAUACAGGAAACCCUCAGAGAAGCGGAUAAACAGGUUGCUGUAACUGAAGCACUGAUGAUGAAGAGCAAAGACAUUGCUCUGGAACUCAGCAUUGAUGAAAACUGCUACCUCAACAUCAAACUCAUGGGUCUCCAGAAAGAAAUAAAAAGUAUUAUUUGCCGUGAGAAGGCAAACUGCAUGGAGUUGGAGGAUCUACUACAAGAAAAAGUCUCUUCAUUGAGGAAAUUGACAUCCAUUGAAAAUAGUCUGACAAAAAUGUUGGUUGACUUAAAGAAGUGUGAAUUUCCAGUGACUAAAGACAGUCUUGUGAAGAUGCAGCCUUUAAAACAAAUGCUUUUGGAACAGAGGUGCCAAGUGGACCAACUGCAUGGCUGCUCCGAGGACAAAAGGAGAGAACUCCUGUGCACCAUGGUUGAGCUGCAGGACAAAAUGGAUGGCAUGGCAGCAAAGUCUUCAGAGCAGGUAGGGUAUCUGAGCUACAGGAGACGCAUUGAGGAGCUGAGAAAUGCCAUCGAGACACAGGUCCUGCAUAUGAAGGAUGAGAAUAUUGGACAGGUAGAGCGGUAUAGUGCCUGCCAAGCUCUUUUAAUCCAGUUCCCACUGAUAAAGAGGCUCUGCCAGGAAGCAAUGGACCAGCUCCAAGGAAUUGCACUGGACUUGUACCCAUCUCAGCUAAACUCAGAAAAACAGUGGAUUCUGCAGGUCACAGAGGUAUUCUCCACUUGGGAGCUGACCCUCUACAAUAAUGUCCAGAUCCUGGAGUGGGCACUGCUGAAGGGGCUCCACUACCCAACUGAGCACAGGGCUGCACUGGUUUUCCUGGAGCAGGUUGACGGGAAAGUGCAGCAGCCCCCUCUGGUCUGUUGCAGUGUGCAUACCAUUGACUGGGAGCUGAGGAGGUGCACGGUCCUUCAGAGCAGUGUGGAGUCUAGGAUGCGGGUGCUAGAGGCCCUGAAACACAAGAGUGGGGCUGGUCAGAAGGGGCCAUGGCAGAGCUCUGGAGACCUGGAUGCAUUGAGGGGAAGGAUUUUGAAGGCCUGUCAUCAGCGAGUGGUAUGUAAGCCACUGAGACAUGAUCCUGAUUUCCUUAGCUCCUGA